rnacentral:tRNA from 2 species
GCAGUCGUGGCCGAGUGGUUAAGGCGAUGGACUAGAACUCAAUUGGGGUCUCCCCGCACAGGUCCGAAUCCUGUCGACUGCG